UGGGGAAUUUUGCGCAAUGGGGGAAACCCUGACGCAGCAACGCCGCGUGAGUGAUGAAGGCCUUCGGGUCGUAAAGCUCUGUCAGAGGGAAAGAAGUGCAGUGGUGCUAAUACCAUCAUUGCUUGACGGUACCCUCAAAGGAAGCACCGGCUAACUCCGUGCCAGCAGCCGCGGUAAUACGGAGGGUGCGAGCGUUGUUCGGAAUUAUUGGGCGUAAAGCGCGUGCAGGCGGUCUUUUAAGUCAGAUGUGAAAGCCCCGAGCUCAACCUGGGAAGUUGAUUGGAAACUAGGAUACUUGAAGUCGGGAGAGGGUAGUGGAAUUCCUAGUGUAGGAAAGAAAUACGUAGAUAUUAGGAGGAACACCGGUGACGAAGGCGGCUACCUGGACCGAUAUUGACGCUGAGACGCGAAAGCGUGGGGAGCAAACAG
rnacentral:rRNA from 1 species